GCCCCCUUAGCUUAGUUGGUAGAGCAUUCGCUUAGUAAGCGAAAGGUCCCGGGUUCGAUUCCCGUAGGUGGCU
rfam:Cryptosporidium ubiquitum isolate 39726 contig_12, whole genome shotgun sequence.